CUACUAAGUGAGAACUUUCAA
rnacentral:tRNA from 1 species